rnacentral:misc_RNA from 1 species
UUUCCGUAGGUGAACCUGCGGAAGGAUCAUUAUUGUAUAACCGAGGUGCGAGGGCUGUCGCUGACCCGAAAGGUCGUGCACGCCCGAGUGCCCUCACACACAUCCACCUCACCCCUAUGUGCACCACCGCGUGGGUCCCCCCUUGGCUUGUUCGGAGGGGGGCUUACGUUUUCACACAAACUUUGUAUGCAGUGUAGAAUGUAUUUUUUGUUUUUGCGAUCACGCAAUCAAUACAACUUUCAACAACGGAUCUCUUGGCUCUC